AAUUGAACCAGGGUCCUCUGGCAUUCAAUUCCUGCACUUUAACGAAAGGCCGUACGAGCUAAAGGGUUAUAUAGCACUCUACAGAUCAAGCGAAUAGUCAGACUUUGAAAAGGAAAUGAAUGAGGAGUUAAAUCAAAGAGUAUCAGCUUUGGAAGAGGCUAGGAAAACAGGACAAAUAUCAAAAGAGCAAAAGGGUGGAGAGAACCCUACAGCAGGCAGCUCGGUCCCACAGGCCCUGCAGUACGAUGAGGAUGAUGUGUAUUUUGACUCUGAUGAGGAGGAGAUGAUCACAGAGGGUGGUAAAAAGAAGAAAAAGAAAGAAGAGAUGUUUACAGAUGAGGAUCUUUUUUAUGACCCGAAUCAGGAUGAUGAAGAUGAGAAGUGGGUCAACAAGCAUCGCCGGUCACACCUUAUGACAGGGGGUAAGGGCAGCAAGAAGCUCCCUGCCAGUGACGCUGUCCUGGACUGCCCAGCCUGUAUGACCACCCUAUGUUUGGACUGUCAGAAACAUGAAGCCUAUCACAAUCAGUACAGAGCCAUGUUUGUGAUGAACUGCCAUGUGGACUUCUCAGAGGUUCUAAAACAACCUCCACAGAAAAUCAGUAACAAGAAGAGGCAUCGGGGGUCACAGGACGAUCAAUCGGGUUCAGGUCAGAAACAGGAGAGUUCCCAGGAGGAGGAAGAAAAGCUCCACCCUGUGAGAUGUACCGAGUGUAACACAGUAGUGGGUGUAUUUGACAGAGAGGAGGUGUUCCACUUCUUUAAUGUCCUGGCCAGUCACUGAGGCCACACUAAAUGGUCAUAGUUUUCAAACGUUUAUUUUAAGAAACGUGGCCAUUGGAUUCCGCUCUCCGACCAGAGAUUGGCAAUCAGAGAUGGAAUGGCAGCAGAAGGACAAUUAUUUACCAGUGUACAAUUGUCAGACCGGUAGUUUUUACAUGUUACAUGUAUACCUGUGAUGUGUACUGUACAAAAUCUACACUUCAGAGCAUACAAGCCACAGAAGUAACUGACUAGUACACGUCAAGGUCUCUGCAGCAAAUGGGUGAUAACAGUUAACUACAUGUAUUUUCUCUGUGAUGGAGAAGCAAUUAACAAUUCACUAAGUAAUAUACCUGCUUAUUUAAAUAAUGCAGUGAAAUAUAAAAUUAUAGAGA
rnacentral:misc_RNA from 1 species